rnacentral:misc_RNA from 1 species
GAUGAAGAACGCAGCGAAAUGCGAUAAGUAAUGUGAAUUGCAGAAUUCAGUGAAUCAUCGAAUCUUUGAACGCACAUUGCGCCCAUUAGUAUUCUAGUGGGCAUGCCUGUUCGAGCGUCAUUUCAACCCUUAAGCCUAGCUUAGUAUUGGGAAUCGACUUUACUGUCGUUCCUCAAAUUCAACGGCGGAUUUAUAGCAAUCUCUGAACGUAGUAAUUUUUUUUCUCGUUUUUGAAAUACUAUAAACCUCAGCCGCUAAACCCCCAAUUUCUUGUGGUUGACCUCGGAUCAGGUAGGAAUACCCGCUGAACUUAAGCAUAUCAAUGAGCGGAGGA